CUCAGACAAGGAAAGUGAGGCUCAGAGAGGCUUCUUGUUUAAACUCAACCUGCUGGUUAGUGCCAGAGGUCCACCCUGGGCUUAGAUCUGCUUGACAACAGUAGGCAUUGUUGGCUUGACUCCUAAAAGAAGAAGGCCACAAAUGCAAAUACAGUCGGGGUUUUGUUCUAUGGUCUGCUCUUCAGGCAACUUUUCUUGUGGUAUGUCACCUAGGUACCUGUGUUCUGUUCUGGCUCUCAGACUUGCAACUUCCUGCACAGCACGUUGUCACUCUGGUUUUAUUUUUGUCAGCUCUUCCUCUGAACCAGGCCUCACCCCAGAGAAGCAGACUCAGGGAGGGCAGGAACAGCUCUGGGGCUAUUGGGCCUAGCCCCUGGGCUGAUGUAGAAGCAUCAGUUCUGCCUCAGGCUGGGACAGCUGGAGUGUCAGCCUGCGCGUUCUGCCUGGGAUCCAGCAUGGCUGCGGUCCCUGGAGGGCUUCAGCUUCCCGCCAUUCCUGGGAGGCCUCUACAGAUGGCCACAGUUCACCUUCUGGCAAAUUCACAGCAAACUCAAGCAUGAGCUGCAAGUGCUGAGGACAGCUUAUUGCAGUUCAUUCUCCUGAGUAACUCCACACACACCUAGCAAAUGACAGGCCCCUGAGAUGGAUUCAUCUGAUACCAGGAGCCUCUAGGACCCAGAAAUUUAACUGUCAAUCAAGAGGCAUGUGAGGGAAAGUCCAGCCCAGCCUGGGUGCCAGAAGGUCUGGAUUCCUGGUCUGCACAUUCCCUACAACUCUGGGCAGAGAUCUCAUAUGUACUUCUGGCUCAGCUACUAACUUAGCUGUGUGGCUUUAGGUGACCCACUUAACUUCUCUGAAUCUGUUUCUCCAUUUGUAAAAUAAAAGGUUUGGACUAGGGAAUCCCCAAA